GAACGAGGAUAUAUCUUCGGGGAUAUAAGCCGAGUGGCACAAGGGUGAGCAAUGCAUAGAUUACGUACCUUUAGGAUAAGGGCAACUUUGUGAAAACGGAGCUAAUACUUAAUAAUACAAAAGAAAAUAAUUUUCUUUUGUCAAAGGGAGGGUAGCAAUACCUUUCGCCUAGAGAGGGGUUUAUGUCCUAUCAGCUUGUUGGUGGGGUAAUAGCCUACCAAGGCGAAGACGGGUAGCCGGUUUAAGAGGAUGGUCGGCCACACUGGGACUGAGACACUGCCCAGACUUCUACGGAAGGCUGCAGUCGAGAAUCUUUCGCAAUGCCCGAAAGGGUGACGAAGCGACGCCGCGUGGGUGAGGAAGGCCUUCGGGUUGUAAAACCCUGUCAGGAGUUAUGAAAUGUAAGUACGCUAAUAUCGUGCUUAUUUGACAAAGGCUCCAAAGGAAGCCACGGCUAACUCUGUGCCAGCAGCCGCGGUAAUACAGAGGUGGCGAGCGUUGUUCGGAAUUAUUGGGCGUAAAGAGCACGUAGGUGGGUUUGCAAGUCAGAUGUGAAAGCCUUCUGUUCAACGGAAGAAUUGCAUCUGAAACUGCUAAUCUUGAGUAUAGGAGGGGAGAAUGGAACUUCUGGUGGAGCGGUGAAAUGCGUAGAUAUCAGAAGGAACGCCGGCGGCGAAAGCGAUUCUCUGGCCUAUUACUGACACUCAGUGUGCGAAAGCCAGGGGAGCAAACGGGAUUAGAUACCCCGGUAGUCCUAGCCGUAAACGAU
rnacentral:rRNA from 1 species